rnacentral:rRNA from 1 species
UUGCCGGCGACCGGCGGACGGGUGCGUAACGCGUAUGUAACUACCUUUGACAGGGGGAUAACAUCGAGAAAUUGGUACUAAUACCCCAUAACAUCACCGGAGGCAUCUUCGGUGGUUGAAAACUCAGGUGGUCAGAGAUGGACAUGCGUUGUAUUAGCUAGUUGGUGAGGUAACGGCUCACCAAGGCGACGAUACAUAGGGGGACUGAGAGGUCAACCCCCCACAUUGGUACUGAGACACGGACCAAACUCCUACGGAAGGCAGCAG